UAUCCGUUGGUGAACCAGCGGAGGGAUCAUUACAGGACUCGCAAGACUCCUACAACCCUGUGAACUUAACUAUAAGCACGUUGCUUCGGCGGGUGUCUCGGAGGGGGUUCUCCCUCCCCGAGACGCUAAACCCGCCGGCAGCCUACUAUACUCUGUCUCUUUGCGUUGGCAUCUCGAGUACAAUCAAACAAGUUAAAACAUUCAACAACGGAUCUCUUGGUUCUG
rnacentral:misc_RNA from 1 species